AUUGAACGCUGGCGGCAGGCCUAACACAUGCAAGUCGAGCGGCAGCACGGGUACUUGUACCUGGUGGCGAGCGGCGGACGGGUGAGUAAUGCCUAGGAAUCUGCCUGGUAGUGGGGGAUAACGUCCGGAAACGGGCGCUAAUACCGCAUACGUCCUACGGGAGAAAGUGGGGGAUCUUCGGACCUCACGCUAUUAGAUGAGCCUAGGUCGGAUUAGCUAGUUGGUGAGGUAAUGGCUCACCAAGGCGACGAUCCGUAACUGGUCUGAGAGGAUGAUCAGUCAGACUGGAACGGAGACACUGGCCAGACGCCUAAGGGAGGCAGCAGUGGGGAAUAUUGGACAAUGGGCGAAAGCCUGAUCCAGCCAUGCCGCGUGUGUGAAGAAGGUCUUCGGAUUGUAAAGCACUUUAAGUUGGGAGGAAGGGCAGUUACCUAAUACGUGAUUGUUUUGACGUUACCGACAGAAUAAGCACCGGCUAACUCUGUGCCAGCCGCCGCCGUAA
rnacentral:rRNA from 1 species